AGCCAAACAAACAUUUGAUUAUACGGACAUCAAAAUAUACGGUUGAAAAUUGAAAUAACAAAAUUUUCGUAUAAGCGUAUAAUAUCCGCAUAUGAAAAUCGUAAUUUCUCGUCAAAAUCCGAGCGUCUCGAGCGAAUAAUAUAUCACAGCCUAAACUCGGGACCAGGGGGGUGUCCAGAAACCCUGGAUCCCCUCCGUAAAACCUCCAUUGGGCUCUGAGAUAGGUUCGUGUUAUCAG